AUUAGUAGCCAUGUCAGCCACUUUCUGAAAGGCGUCCAAGAAGGCAGCAGCUGCUACUACUGUAGUCCGAAGCUGAGACUGCAAUUUCCCAGCUUUAUUUAUAAAAUCUUCCCACACUGGGUAACUUCCCUUCAUGUCGCUGAUGAUGGUCUGGAAGAGCCCUCCGAGCGCGCUACAUUCCUUCUCGAUCACCGCCUCCAUUUUCCUCGCCCGGCAGACGGGAGGAGGACGCGCACGCCGCUGCGGCUCCGCUGCUCGGCUACGGAGAAACGAGACCCCCGCUCCCACCUCACCGGAACACCCAGACACGGGGACGGACGGGCAAAAACCACCUCAGCUCCUCUCCGCCUCAAAACGGCUGCCUCUAAGAACGUCAAAAUAAGGGAGGAAAAACUAAAAAAGGGAAGGAGCGCGGAAGGCGCUACGCGCAGCGCGCGGCCCCGCUGCGGAGCUCCGUGCGGCCCCGCGCCGCGCUGCCCUCCCGCCCCCGGGCAGCACCGCAGCCCAUCGCUGUGGGACCGGCGGGCGCUGGAGGAGGCGCGCGAAGCGAUAAAAACGACCGAUUCGGUUAUCUAUAGGGAGAGACGGGACCGCGUGCUGAGCCCGACGGCUCGCAGCGCAGCGCAGCG
rnacentral:lncRNA from 1 species